rnacentral:rRNA from 1 species
AGAGUUUGAUCAUGGCUCAGAUUGAACGCUGGCGGCAGGCCUAACACAUGCAAGUCGAGCGCGAAAGUCUUCGGAUGAGUAAAGCGGCGAACGGGUGAGUAAUGCAUGGGAAUCUGCCUGGUAGUGGGGGACAACGUCUCGAAAGGGACGCUAAUACCGCAUACGCCCUACGGGGAAAGGGGGGGAUCUUCGGACCUCUCGCUAUCAGAUGAGCCCAUGUCAGAUUAGCUAGUUGGUGAGGUAAAGGCUCACCAAGGCGACGAUCUGUAACUGGUCUGAGAGGAUGAUCAGUCACACUGGAACUGAGACACGGUCCAGACUCCUACGGGAGGCAGCAGUGGGGAAUAUUGGACAAUGGGGGCAACCCUGAUCCAGCCAUGCCGCGUGUGUGAAGAAGGCCCUAGGGUUGUAAAGCACUUUCAGUGGGGAGAAAGGUUAUUCACCUAAUACGUGAGUAGAUUGAUGUUACCCACAGAAGAAGCACCGGCUAACUCCGUG